rnacentral:rRNA from 1 species
UUUCCGUAGGUGAACCUGCGGAGAUCAUUGUCGAACCU